rnacentral:lncRNA from 1 species
CAUGCUGCACUGUUUUUUAUUCACAGAUGUGUCCAUUUCUCUAUCACACUCUGAAAUGGUCUGAUUCAGAGACUGUGACUGAUUUCAUCCUGAGUCCUUACCAUUGAGCUCAGUGUAUGGCACAGACUGGAAACUACACUUGGCCCUCAGUCAAUAUUUAUGAAUUUUUUUUUUUUUUAAGGAAUCAGAGGUAAUAGUUAUCUAAACUAGACUGGAAAAUGAUUACCGUGUAAAUGAAGAUAGUGAGGUCAAUCCCUGGAUGUAACCUCUAGCUUAGUGUGAAAUAGUGCUACCAUUCUAUUUCCAGUUGUUACAAUCAACUCCAUGAUAAAUUAUCACUAUGUAUCUCCAACUAUAAUCUUGAAGGUGGUAGAAAGCAAAGUCUAGGGUAAAAGUUACAUUAGGAAGUAUCACCUAGGCAGCAGGACUGAGGAAGAAAGGGGUGUUGGAUAGGAGAAUAUAGAGAUCAAAUGUAAGACUGUAUGACGAAGCUGGCAACUGUUGAAUACAAGGAAUACUUCAGUUUUUUUCAGCAUUGUCCUGCAGGAAGGCAAGUGAAACAACCAUCUUAGAACAUCCUUCUUAUAAGAGAAAAGGGGAAAAAUUUAACUACUGGCUCCAUAUGCCAUGGGGCAAAUAGUCAAGCCACAGGGCAGUAACUUGCAUUUCUAUAUACUUGGGCACUGAGGAGGGUUUUGUAUUAUUUGGUGAUUUGUGAUUGAUGGAGAAACCCUUGCUGCAAGAAGUGCCAUGUAUGUGAUGAAUGACAAUGCUAUGAAACAAGACUCAUUUACAUGGCACCUGAACUUGAUUAAUGUUGUGCAGGACUGGGUGUCAUAACAACUAGAACAAGAGACAGUUAGGCCAAGAAGAUCUAGAGUUGUUAAAGAGAUAGAUUCUGGAUACACUGUCCUGUUCUUUUACACCUGGCCUGUAAAGUAAAAAUACCAGUUUUGGUUUUAUUGCUCUAUGGGCUCAAAAGUCUGAUUUAGGAUCAGAAUCUAUAUUAUUGGAUAACCCAAACCUGUUCUUUCCAGUAGCAUCUACUAAUUAGAUUCAAAUCCUAGAUCUGCUAGUUUAUAGCUCUCUAAACUCAAGCAGUGAAAAAUUUUAGCCUCACUUUCCUACUAACAGUGAAAAGAGGAAUCAAAGAUUUUUUACAUAAAUUAGCAGAAUUAAUAACAUGUAAAAAUGCUUAUUAGCACUAUGCUUGGUAUGUAGAUGUCUCUCCAAAACUCAUAAUUAUUAUUUUACUUGCAAUUAGGACAAUAUUUAUAAAGUAAUGGAAUAUUUUGAAGAUAGAGCAAUGAAACUUAACAUUCCUGAACAUGUAAAGAUGGUUGAGUGGUGGAGAGUUCAUGGCAAAGAUUCAGUUAUUCAGGAGAGCAACUUUAAUACUGUUUGAAAGUAAGAACUUUUUGAAAGAUAAACUAAGUAGCACAGAUUUGGGAGCAAUGUUACGACACAUAGGAUGGUCGGUGUGAAAAGAACCCGCAGAAGCAAGAGGAUGUAAAAAUUUCUCAAAGAGCUAAACUGUUCAGUGGAGAAAGUAAGUGGUAUCAGUAUAAAGACUUGAAGUGGCUGGGUUUGAAUUUGAGACAAAAGGGGGAUUUUAGAGAUAACAUUUUAACAGAAUGAAGAAGAAAGAGGAUUAAUGCUGAAUCCCUAGAGAAGGCUUAUUUAUUGUUGUUUUAUGUUCCAGAUUACUUGAGCAACAGCAAUAUAAUGGGCAUUGUAUAAAACAUAGUUUAUGUCCCACUUACAAGAUUAGUAGGAAUAGAAUUCAUAGAUAAAAGGCAUCAGUUUAGUACUGAAUACCAUUGAGAAUUAUGAGGUGAUAGGCCACUUAUUUUUUUUCUCCUUUUUUUUUGAAGCCAAUGUCAAAUAAAAAUUAUCAUUGAAAAGGAUGUAUGCAGGAAUCAUACAUAAAGGCAGAGGAAUAUAAGUUAAAAAUAGAAUCUAAAAAUGAAGGAACCAUUAAGAAAAGUACAGAAAGACCAUUAGGAAUAAACUGAACAAAGAAAGAAAAGCCACUAUCAAGGUAUACUUAAAAUUGUCUGUUACAUGAGAGAAAAAUAAGUAAAAAUAUAUACAAUUCGGUGCACACAACUUAAAAAUAAUGUGUUAUGAUUUAUUUUUAAACAACUGAUAAAUAGCCAAUUGAUGGAAUCCAAGUAAUUGAGUUAGAUUAUCUUCCAGUAUUACUAACAAAGAAGUAAGAUCCUUUGAGCAUUUAAAUUAAAUCUGCUUAUUUACGCAAAUGUUCUUUUAAUGAAAUAUAUCAUAGUUUCUUCCUUUCUUGUUUGAUUUCUCAUUGAAUUCACUGUUAGCAAACAAUAUGUGAUGGAUUUGGAAAGAGGAAAACUCAAGAGUAGAAUAUGUAUUGAUGCAUCUGAGGUAAUCAUUCUCUAAAAAACAAGAGCACUGGGAAGCAGUUAUUUUGUAAUUAGCAAAAGAAAAGUGUUCAUUAAGAUAAGGGGUAUGAAGAGAUGUAUAUCAAUGUGACUAGAAAGAUACCUCAUGAGAAAACCAUUCUUUUCUUGAAGCCCUUAAUGACUGUUAAGCUGUGAGCAUAGGUUUUGGACUUUAACUAACCCAGUGCUUUUCAGAGUUGUCAAGAUCUUCUAGUACUGGCCAUGAGUCAGGAUAGAGAACAUUGGGGCUUUAUACUCAAUAGAAAUAAUAAUCAAGCAUAAUGUAAGUCUCUAAACACUGUCUUAUUGGUUCAAAACUAGAAUAGAGGAGUUCCCAUCAUGUCUCAGUGGAAACAAAUCUGACUAGCAUUCAUGAGGACAAGAACUCAGAUUCAAUCCCUGGCCUUGCUCAAUGGAUUAAGGAUCCGGCAUUGCUGUGAGCUGAGGUAUAAGUGGCAGACACUGCUUGGAUCUGGUGUUGCUGUGGCUGCGGAGUAGGGGCUGGAACUACAGCUCCAAUUUGACCCCUAGCCUAGGAACCUGCAUAUGCUAUGGGUGUGCCCCUUAAAAAAAAAAAAAAAAACUAGAAUAGGUACAUAGGAGAAAUAAUCAAUACAGAACAAGUGCAUUAUUCUUAACAAAUUAGUAUUUCUCUUGACUUCCAUUGCUGUUGUAUUGUUCUAGGUCAUUACCACCUCUCUCCUAGACCCCUGCUGGGUCAGCUCUGGAGCUUCUCUACUCAUCCUGCCUGCACCUACUGUGUUCUAUUAUCCACACAGUAGUCAGUAAUAGUGUUAAACAAUAAAUCAUAUUCUAUCACUUGCACUAUGUACGUAUUGCUCUUUCUUGACCUGCAUUAAGGAAUGCCCCACUUCAGUACCUUUGUGGUUAUUGUUCUCUCCACAUGUAAAGUUCUGUGUCUAGAUAUUCUAGGAUUCUCCAUCCCUUCAUUCAGAUCUACUCUCAAGGUAAUCAUCUCAUACUUGACUGCCCAGCCUAUCAUUACCACCUUAGUUUCUUCAAAACACUUACCACUAUAAAACAUUAUAUGUGUUUAUUUUCUCAUCCUUUAGAUGCAAACUGUAUGAAUGCAGAAGUUUGUUUGGUUCAUUAACAAAUCCUAUGGUCCAGAAAGCAUAGGGUCUCAAUUUUUUCUUGAACGGAUGAAAGAAUGAAAAGAAAAGAAUAGAGAAGUAUUUUUUUUUUCUUAUGGCUGCACCUGUGGUAUAUGGAAGUUUCCAGGCUAGGGACUGAAUAUAAGCCAUAGCUAUGGCUGCAACAGUGCCAGAUCCUUUAACCCACUGCACUGAGCUGGAGAUUGAACCCUUGCCAAGAUGCUGCAUUCAGAUUCUUAACCCAGUCCACCACAGCAGGAACUCCUAUAGAAGUGUUUUUAAACACAACUGGAACAGCAUUCUCAAUAUAUCUGUCUGUAAAUAUGGAAACAUUCUAUACUUGUCCUAUCUAAUACUGACGCCAAUAGAAAAAUGAGUCUAUUAAAUAUCUGAAAUGUGGCUAGUAAAACUGAGUCAUAUUUGUUUUCUUUAAUUAAAUUUGAAUAACCACAUCUCUAUUUCAUUGGCCAGUACAGUAAGGGGAAAGAAUGGAGGCAGGUGGAUAUCUGGCCUAUUGGCUGAGCAUAUUUACCAAAAUAUUAUGUGAUUAAUUUUUUUUUGAAAUACACCAUUGAUGAGUUGCCAUCUUGGUUCAGCAGUAAUGAACUGAGCCAGUAUCCAUGAGGAUGUGGGUUCUCUUGGUCUUGCUCAGUAGGUUAAGGAUCUGGCCUUGCUGUGUCAAUGCAGCUUGGAUCCUGUGUUGCUAUGGCUGUGGCAUAGACCAGCAGCUACAGCUGUUUUGACGCCUAGCCUGGGAACUUUCAUAUGCCAUAGGUGUGACCUUAAAAAGACAAAAAUAAAACAAUAAAAUAGAAAUUUCAAUGGGUUAUUUUAUGUUGUUUGAAAUGAGGGCCCUGAUGUUAUUACUUUAUUAAAACCUCAAUUUUCACUCCCAGAAUCUCAUUUUGACUAAUUUGGACUUGUAGUUCAAUUAUGUGAUAUUGGAACAUAUUAGUGAAUAAGAUAAAAUUUAUUUUUUUAACUACUGGGAAUAAAAUUAAAAUAAGAAAUUUUGAUUUUCAAAUUUUCAAAGCAUCUAUUAAACAGUUACUUCUAGUGAUGGCAAAGAUUUAGGUGAUGUAUUUAAAGGACUUAUUAAGAUUAUAAGAUUUUUGUCCAUUCAAUUUCACGUAUGAUUGGCUCUCCCUGUCCUCAGAUGUAGAACUCACAGAUAGGGAGAGCUGACCAUUUUGAGCAUCUUCUGGGGUCCAGGAACCAAUCCCCUGUGGAUACCAAAGGAUGACUGUGUAUGAAUUUUCCAGUGAAAUAAUCAGAUACAAGUUAAAUGUAUUUGGUAUAAAAUGAUUUUCAAGGAAGCUCUUUAUAACAAUGCAGCCAUAUCCUUAAUAUCCAAGGAUGAUAGAUUUAUACAAACUUGAAAUGUACUACAUACAAUUGUUGAGUUCAUAGUGGUACUAAAUCACUAAUUUUGUCCAAAAAAGAGAAUAACAUAUACUAAAAUAUAUUAUGUGUAUGUAUUAAUGUGUAUAUAAUUUAGAAUAAGUACUUUUUAAGUAAUUUAUAUAUUUUUAAGACUAAUAGCAAUAAAUGCCCUGGCUAAGGUUAAUAAUUAUCACUAUUUGAAAUAAAAGCUAACAAUUCAUUAGUCCUUGACCUUCUAAGUAAGCAGAUAUUUUUUCAUUUUCUUAGGUAAAACUUCUGCAGCUUAUAAAAGGAUCUUUUACUAUAAUUUUUUUAUUCUCCUGCUAGAUUCUAAUUACCUUGUAGUAUAUCCCUCUAAUUUACAAACUUCUUCAGUCUUUGCUCAAUCAUCUGCAUCUUUAGCUCAGAGGAACCAGAAUUAGCCAGAGUAGAGCUACAUCAGUUAAAAUGCCCUUGUGUGCUAGAAAGACGAUGUACACUGGUAUUGACUUAAAAUUGUACUACUUAUAUUGACUUGUAAUAUAAAUUUACUGAUUCCAGAGUUUAAAAAGGUCCAAAGAUGGGGAUAAUUGGGUUUGGUUUAAUGAAUACCACAUGAUUCCAGAUUAUGUUUCUUUCAUUUUUCUGCCUUCACUGAAAAGGUCCUGGGAUUCAAUCCUUUCAUCUUGAUUGUAUACCCAAUAUUGAAUCAUUCAGUGAGAUGUAUGGACAUGGUUAUAGUCCAUGGACAUCAUUUAAUCUUCAAGUAAGGGGUGGGAUAAUCUUUUCUGGACCCACAUAAACCUCAUAUUAAAACUUGAGUCUGUUAGACAGGAGGAAGGAAAAGUUUAUCCUAUGAAGAAAAUCAACAAGUACAGGAGUUCCUGUUGAGGCUCAGCAGAAACGAAUCUGAUGAGGAACCAUGAGGAUGUAGGUUCCAUCCCUGGCCUCGCUCUGCAGGUUGAAGAUCCAGCGUUACUGUGAACUGUGGUGUAGGUCACAGAUGUGGCUCUGAUACUGCAUUGCUGUGGCUGUGGUGUAGGCCAGCAGCUGCAGCUCUGAUUAGACCCCUAGUCUGGAAACUUUCAUAUACCAUGGGUGUGGCCCUAAAAAG